CUGGCCUCAGACCCUGCACACCGUUGCAGACCUCUCAGAGCCACUGCGGCUGAGUCCUCAGCGGCCUCCAGCAGAGGGCUAGCUGCAUCUUUGGGGACAGCAAGACAGCUGGGAAGCAGCGAACAACGCGCAAGAGAGCGGCCAACACUGGGGAUGCGAGCACUAGGCAGGCUCCAGACACCUAAAUCGGGGGCGGAGGUAGUUUUCAAGACAUGGCCGAGAUUUGGCGCUGAGCUGUGUCAUCGCGAGGUUUGGUAGCAAGCUCCGCAGUGGGUCGGAAACCUCGUGGUAAGCGAGAUCCCUAAAGGACGAGAGCUUCCUCCCUUUCCCCGAAAAACUCCCAGUCAUUUUCACGAAGCUCC
ensembl:lncRNA